AACGGCACAAUUUGAGAAGAUUAACACGCAGUAAUGCUUUCACAGCCGUCACCAAAAAUUUAUGCUAAGUAUGCCCCUUGGUUGUUCUCAUUGCUUUAUCAGGGCACAUGUAGUGACAAAUCAGUCCAGGAUUUUAAAGGCGUGAAAAUAUAUCACGAGGCAGUGUUUCUAUUAAUCAUUCAGGAUGGAACACUUCGAUUUUUGGAACACUUGCGAGUUUCAUUUUGACUUUUUAUCUUGAAAUUGAUUGGGAUUUCAUGGAGGAUACCUAUGGAGGCUCCUUUAAAUAUCGAGUUGUUCUUGCUCUAUUCACAGUGCAUUCCAAGCAGCUCAAAGUCUCAUACAGCUCUUUAUUCAUAUUUGCCGAAAAUAAUUCCAUUUUCAAAACAUUCUUUUUAGUCCGUGUAUUUGACAGCAGAAGUUUAAGAUGGCUCAAACUAAUGGACAAUUAUUUUUCUUCCUCUUCGUUGUCAUUGCUAUGCUAGCGACUUAUGUUCAGGGCUGUGCCUUGAUCAAGAACUGCAAUAGGAACGGUGGCUGUGGGUGUGGAGGCUGGGGUGGCUGUGGUUGCGGUGGUUGGGGUGGUUGCGGUUGCGGAGGCUGGGGAGGUUGUGGAUGGGGUGGUUGCGGUUGCGGAGGAUGCGGAUGGUGCUAAGGAUCUUCCUAAGGCCGAAUGCAGUGUUCAAUGCAACUUCAACUAUACCGGCAAAUGCAGAGUCAGGACCAAAAAACAUUAUCUCCGUUUUCUUGUUUUCUUUUCUUUUCUUUCUAAGUAGCUACUGAAACCCAUCUAGCUGCAGAGUUACAUUACGAAGGGAGUACAACUGUAAAUACAACCUACUCGCACCCAAAGUCUCUACACACAGCACAACUUACGAACAAAAGGGACAUGACUGAUUUUAAUCGUCCCUAUUUUCCCGUCAACUUUGUUUCAGUUGUUAAGGAAGUCUUGCAAAUAAGAUUAAGAAUCUGCGUUAAAAUUGUUGAAUUGUAUAGCCUGAAGUUCGUUGAAUAAAUUAAAAAAAACCGAAA